UACGAAGGGGGCGAGCGUUGUUCGGAAUUACUGGGCGUAAAGGGCGCGUAGGCGGCGACUCUAGUCAGAUGUGAAAGUCCUGGGCUUAACCUGGGGACUGCAUUUGAUACUGGGUUGCUUGUAUUCGGGAGAGGAUAGCGGAAUUCCCAGUGUAGAGGUGAAAUUCGUAGAUAUUGGGAAGAACACCGGUGGCGAAGGCGGCUAUCUGGACCGACAUUGACGCUGAGGCGCGAAAGCGUGGGGAGCAAACAGG
rnacentral:rRNA from 1 species